UCUGUGCGUCUAAGAGACCGGACCAACGCUCUGCCACAGGAAUAAUAAGACGAAAGGAGGCAACACGACGGUAUAUAUAUAUAGAAAGGCUUAGCUGACGCACCUCGAAAAAAACGUUUCCUACACACACUCGACGCCACCAGCCCGCACCACGGCACCACUGCGUUCAUUCAAGCGAUCUCCUGUUGCCAGAACGACGGCACACCCCUGUCUCUUCGGUGCUCACAGUACGCACGCAGACACGGCAGCCCAAACACCGACACGCUUAUGCUGUCACGAAGCACCGUUGGGAGCGACUUGUACCGAGGUGGCCCUUUCACCAACCGUUCUGCACACAAGACACCGUCACGAAUUUCCUGCGCAAGCUCGUCUCUCUGAGGUCUCUCUUCUCCUCCCCCCUGCCAGAUGCGCCGCGAGCGCCAGAACUCGACGAAGGCCGCGCCUGCCGCCUGCUCGUCACCGCGAGCGCCGCAAACGUUGGGAGUUUCUACCAAGAUGCGUGCAAAGCAGGGCACGACAUCCGCCACAGCCGGGGCGGCGACAGCGGCAGCGGUGCUCGAGAGCACUACAGGCAAAGGAUGCAGCACCGCCCCCUCCACACACGUGACAGAAAAGAGGCCAAGAAAGGCUUGCUUAGUGACCCCCGGGCUAAAGGGUGAGCCAGUCUCGCUCCGGUCGGACGCCUCACGUAGAGCAGCCAAGACCGCGCCUGUGCACUCGCUGUUGUCAACAACACUGUCCACCUCCUCCUCAUAUCUGCUGCCGCCCGCCGUGAAAGGGGUGGGUGCGAAGCGUCGCACCUCGAGCGUCGCCACGGCAUGCUCGACCGCGACGGCCCCCUUACUCCCUGUUCCCAGUCCACGGAGCACGCGCUCCGCUGGCGCCUCUUCCUCAGCACUGACCACAAAAAGCGAGCCACUAUCGUGCACGGCUGGGACAGCGCCCGGAAAAAGGGCCUCUGCACGCCGUGGCAGCCGCGCCGCGCCUACCACGAACCGGAGCGGCAAACGCGGCAGCGUCGGGCUUCUCCUCCCUGCUGUGCACAAUGACAAGGAUGUCGCCGUCGUGGCUGUCAAGGGUUGCGGCAACGAUGACGGCGGGAAGCCUGAAGAGAACACGCCAUUCUUGAAGUCAGCCACCACCCCGGCUGUCGCUCUCGCUUUUCCUAUUGCCUCCCUCUGUGGGAAUCGCGGCGGCGGUCUCACAGCUGCAGUCACAGAUGAGCUUCCGCCCCUGUGCUCGCCGUCCUGGAUGCCGCUGCACAAGACGCGGAUCAACGCAGACCCACAGCGCUCACCCCCACCCGCCCCUGCGAACCACAUCAGGUCGCCUGUAGGUAGCGCGUCGUCGCAGUCCUUAGCCAUAUCUCCCCUCUCGACCAAGCCGGUCGACAUACCUUCGCCGGAGCGGAAGCCGAACAGUGGAGUCGUCACCGGCGUCAGCAUCAGUGACGGUGGUGCCGUCUGGGACCGGCGAGCACAGUGCCGAGCGCCGACGCCCCCCACCAGUAGCAUCACUGUGGAGCGCCGAGAAGAAGCCGGAUACGGCGCGAUGGUGGCGAAGGGGGGAAAGGCAAGCAGCUCACUCAGCAAGGCCACUGCCGGACGCGUUGGGAGCCAGGAAGAUGAUGUGGAAGGGGGCGAUGAGACCUCGAGCGAAGACGAGGAGGACGAAGAAGAGGAUAGCGAUGAGGAAGACGACGAGGGCGAAGAAGGUGACUACUAUGACGGCGCCACGUCCGACCAGGAGGAGGAGGACGACGACGUAGACACUGGCGACAGCACCUCUGAUGACGAGGAAGACGAAGACGAUGCGUCGACGUCGGCUUCAUCUUCCUCCUCGGGCUCUUCGACGGCGCCGGUAGAGAUCGGCAGCAGGAGGACGCGGAGGAAGAUGCAGAGUGGCAAGAAGUCGACGCAGCGCUCUCUCAAGGCCGCGAAGAACACGGCCGUGCCGUCAUCGGCUUCAAGCGGUGCGCAGUGGUGCGGUGGGCCCGGACCGGCAGCGCAGCCGAUUCGCACGAAGGUGUCGAGAGAGGGGGACGUGAACGUGAAGGUCAUCUUUGCCGCUCGCUCCCGUCACUGCUUCCGCCGCUAUGUCAAGGAGGUGAUGACGCGCUUCGGCUUCCGGAAGGCGACCGACUUUGACAUGUACUGCAUUGACCAGUAUGGCGACCGCGUCGACAUCGAUACGGAGGAGGACUUUGAACAGCUGCUUGACGCCUUUACGGAGGCCAUGGGGGUGGUAGGCAAGGAUAGUCUCGUGGGCUCCCAAGACACGCACGCCUCUCCUCCGCCGCCGUCCCUGGAGCCGCUCCACCACCUGUACGGCGCGAACCAAAGCACGGGUAGCUGUGGGAUGCCCGCGGUGGGUGAUGGGUCCAGCAUGAGUCGCCAUGCACGCGAGCGCGCCAUGAGCUUCAGCGCAAGCCAGAACCACACGUCCUCCUUCUAUGCCGCCAAAUCCUUCUCCUUAUCCCCCCGACUGGACGCGACGAUCGCGUCGUCCAUCAGCGCUGGCAGCCUCGUGGAAGAUGACGGCAAGAGCAGCGGCAGCGUGCUGCGGCUUUAUGUGCGCUAUUCGAACGCCUACUACACCGAGCACCGCCGAGAGUUUGAGCAGCAGAUGAAUCAUAGCCUGCUCUACCCGCAGGCCAUGCUGAGUAACGGUGGCAGCGGUGCCCAUCCACCGCCGCCGCCGCCGCAGCAGCAGCAGCUGUCGCUUGGGUCGCCUUCGAGCAAGUGGAGACUUCAAACGGAUCAGCUUCCAAGUGGCCAUGUCUCGCCAGGGGCGGUAGGUUCUCCCCUCGCGCGAAAUCUGCUCGCGUUCACGACCUGCAGCGUUGGCAGCGGAGGCGGAGAUGGCGGCGCCAUUUCGAGCCACGACGAGCUCAAUGCUGUUCAUGGCAAAUCUUCCGAUUGGGCUGCUGCCUCUGCGGACAGCAUGUCGAUGCAGUUCAACGAGACACUAAACAGCAACCUUGCCAAGACGCUCCGGCUUGAUGAGGCCGAGCCGCUAGACUGGCGGCGUAUGAGCGUGCUUGGCAAGGGCUCCUUCGGCACGGUGUACGAGGGCAUCACUCAGGAUGGAAAGAUGCUGGCGGUGAAGGUGCAGGAGCUGUCCCUCGACGACGGCGAGGACGCGGAGGCGGUGAAGGCGGUGAAGGCGGAGAUCAAUCUCAUGCGUUCGCUGAAGCACAAGAACAUUGUCACCUACUACGGGUGCCAGACGCGCGUGCUGCCGACAGGCAAUCAGCAGAUGGAGGUGUUCCUCGAGCUAUGCCACGGCGGCAGUCUCGCUUCCCUGCGGCGGAAGUUCGUAAAGGCCAAGGAGCCGUUCAGUAUCUCGCUCGUGCGCUCAUACACGCGGCAGGUUCUGGAGGGGUUGGCCUACCUGCACGCCCAGAACGUUGUGCACCGCGACAUCAAGAGUGACAACGUACUCAUAUCUGCAAUGGGCGAGGCGAAGCUUGCAGAUUUUGGGUGCAGCAAGCGGCUAGGGCCGGCGACGCUGCAGGGCAUGCCGGGUACACUGCCUCCAGGUGCAGCGCCGGCGGCGGCGGCACCAAGCCCACAAGAGGCGGCGGUAGCACGUGCCGCUAUGCACCAGACAGUGGUGGGCUCGCCCUUCUUCAUGGCGCCAGAGGUGCUGCGAGAGGACGGCAGCUACACUGGCGCAGCGGACAUCUGGUCUGUAGGCUGCUUGGUGCUGGAGCUGCUCGGUCGUGAGCCGUGGGACAUCACCGGCAAGAACAUCUUUCAAAUUAUGUUUCGCAUUAGUAAGGAGAAGGGGAUGCCGACUGGGGUGCCGAAGAAGUGCCCAGCGAUUCUUCUCGACUUCUUCGAGCGAUGCUUCCAGCGGGAUACCAAGCGGCGGGCCACCGCGGUAGAGCUUCUGGAGCAUGAGUGGCUGACGUGCCCCGACAAGGCGCUCGAGGAGGUGCCGCCGUCGCCGUUAUCGCAGAAGGAGUCGCCGGCGGAGUGACGGAGAAAGAGGUGCGAGGGGGGUGAGACGUGCUUGUCAGUUUGGCUGUGUGAUUGGAUAUGCGCGUCUCUCCGUCCACCUGCCUCCGUGGUUUAGUGGAUCGGCAGGAGGGGUGUGGAGCCGAACGCCCAAAUUCUUUGUUCUGAUUAUUUCUUCGUGUGCUCGCGCUAGCACCGCCACUAUCCCCUCCCUCCUCUUCUCUCGCUCUUGUUCUCUGUGUGGGUGCACCCGCACGCGGAAAGCGCGUUCCUCGCAGCACGAUGGCUGCGUCGUUCUCUAACGCGCUCGCGCCUGCCCCCCUCCCCCUAUCUCUCUGUGUCUUCCCCACCCCACCCAGUCCGAUCCGCUUGUUGUCACGCCACGUGAUGGCGCGCUCUCGUGCCAUCUCUCCUUCUCGUCUCUCUUUGUUUUGCCCCUUUCCCGGCCUGCGUCUGUGUCUCGUACACAGAUUUGCGGCGGGUAGCACGUGCGGGCUGCCUGGACCCCUUCGCAAAUCACAGACCGACGCAUCCACGUGCACUCGCCGCACGCGUACGUGCCUUUGUUUUUCCUUUUGUGAAUGUGCAUAGGCUUGCCGCUCCUUCUCUCUCUACCUCCGCGCGCGUAGCCCACUCGGCUGCCUUGUUUUCUUCCUCCUCCGCUCUCACCCCUUCCGGUCUCCCGGCUCCGCUUGCGCGUCUUUCCGCCGCGGCGACUCACACGCAGCACUGUGCUGUCUCACCGCACCCUCCCUCUCCCAAACUUGUGAUGAGAAAUGUGGGACUCAUGUGAUGAAGGAGAGAGGAGGGACAAACACAUGUACUGUACCACCGCACUUACCUUGAUAGAUAACACGAAGACACGCACACACGCACGCGCAUGCAUACGCGCAGCCACUUGGACGCCUUCUCGCAUGUGCUUGCGUCUUCUUGAUCUCUCACUCUCUUCGCAUGUUUUCGCAUCCUUGCUGAUGCGGCCACCAGUCCCAUGCUUUCACGAAUCCCUUUUGUUUUCUCUUUGCAACGUGUUGUUAUGUGCGUGCUGUCUUCGCGUGCAUCGCCCUUCCCCCUUCCCCCUUCCCUUCCCUCUCCCCCUCCUCCUCUCACUACCGCUGACAUGUGGUGCCGAGGCACCCUUCUUGUGUUGUGUCUAUCGGAGGGUCUGACGAUGCCGAUGCGGCGAGAGAGGGAGGGGAGGCGACGAAAAGAUGGAUGGGAGGUGGCGGUGAAUGACUGGCGAAGGAGAGUGAAUCAGCCAACCCCCCUCCUCUUCCGAGGACACGAGAUGCACAUAUACCGCCGUCGACACAGGCACCCGAGUGCCUGCUCCUUUUCUCCUCCCCAAUUCCCUCCUCCCUCCUCACCUAGUGUGAAGGAGAGGGAGGGCGAGUGGCGCGAAGUAUUCGCGCGUAUGAGGUGCCUUCGAGCAACGAAGCGCGCUAUGAAGAGAAAGCGAAUGCGUGGCACUCACAUGGACGUCUUCCUCUUGCCUUCCAGCCGUCACCCCCUGGUGCCAUGGAGGCGUACUUCAUCGGCGGACUUUGUUUAUGGCCACCUCUCGGCUACCGCCGCUGCUGCUGCUGGAUGACCGUCAGCAUUCGCAUCCUCAUUGUCCAGUUCACGGACGGACGGGCAGCGACGAGAACCGACAACCCAUGCGGCUGCAAGGAACCACACACGACAUGUGUGCAUCUCACUCUGUUUCUUUGUUGCUCCCUGUCGCCCCCCCUCUC
rnacentral:misc_RNA from 1 species